AGCGAUUUGUCAAGGCCACAAACCGCCUGGCUGAUUAUUAUGUUUGGCCAUGCGAGCUGGACACAAACGAUUAAAAUUACAAUUUGUAUACGAACUGAAGUGAGAGUUCGGCAAUAAAGUUAUACAAGUUGUAAGGCUUAAAUUAUUUAUGUA